AGGUUAAGCGACUAAGCGUACACGGUGGAUGCCCUGGCAGUCAGAGGCGAUGAAGGACGUGCUAAUCUGCGAUAAGCGCCGGUAAGGUGAUAUGAACCGUUAUAACCGGCGAUACCCGAAUGGGGAAACCCAGUGUGAUUCGUCACACUAUCAUUAACUGAAUCCAUAGGUUAAUGAGGCGAACCGGGGGAACUGAAACAUCUAAGUACCCCGAGGAAAAGAAAUCAACCGAGAUUCCCCCAGUAGCGGCGAGCGAACGGGGAGGAGCCCAGAGCCUGAAUCAGCAUGUGUGUUAGUGGAAGCGUCUGGAAAGGCGCGCGAUACAGGGUGACAGCCCCGUACACAAAAGCGCAUGUGCUGUGAGCUCGAUGAGUAGGGCGGGACACGUGGUAUCCUGUCUGAAUAUGGGGGGACCAUCCUCCAAGGCUAAAUACUCCUGACUGACCGAUAGUGAACCAGUACCGUGAGGGAAAGGCGAAAAGAACCCCGGCGAGGGGAGUGAAAAAGAACCUGAAACCGUGUACGUACAAGCAGUGGGAGCACAGGUUUACCUGUGUGACUGCGUACCUUUUGUAUAAUGGGUCAGCGACUUAUAUUCUGUAGCAAGGUUAACCGUAUAGGGGAGCCGGAGGGAAACCGAGUCUUAACCGGGCGUUAAGUUGCAGGGUAUAGACCCGAAACCCGGUGAUCUAGCCAUGGGCAGGUUGAAGGUUGGGUAACACUAACUGGAGGACCGAACCGACUAAUGUUGAAAAAUUAGCGGAUGACCUGUGGCUGGGGGUGAAAGGCCAAUCAAACCGGGAGAUAGCUGGUUCUCCCCGAAAGCUAUUUAGGUAGCGCCUCGUGAAUUCAUCUCCGGGGGUAGAGCACUGUUUCGGCUAGGGGGCCAUCCCGGCUUACCAACCCGAUGCAAACUGCGAAUACCGGAGAAUGUUAUCACGGGAGACACACGGCGGGUGCUAACGUCCGUCGUGAAGAGGGAAACAACCCAGACCGCCAGCUAAGGUCCCAAAGUCAUGGUUAAGUGGGAAACGAUGUGGGAAGGCCCAGACAGCCAGGAUGUUGGCUUAGAAGCAGCCAUCAUUUAAAGAAAGCGUAAUAGCUCACUGGUCGAGUCGGCCUGCGCGGAAGAUGUAACGGGGCUAAACCAUGCACCGAAGCUGCGGCAGCGAACGUAUCACCCAAGACAACUUUACGGAGUUGACGAUUGACGGAGCGAAGCGACGUCAAAGCGUUCAUUAAAGUCGAGUUGGCUUAGGGAUACGUUCGUUGGGUAGGGGAGCGUUCUGUAAGCCUGUGAAGGUGUGUCGUGAGGCAUGCUGGAGGUAUCAGAAGUGCGAAUGCUGACAUAAGUAACGAUAAAGCGGGUGAAAAGCCCGCUCGCCGGAAGACCAAGGGUUCCUGUCCAACGUUAAUCGGGGCAGGGUGAGUCGACCCCUAAGGCGAGGCCGAAAGGCGUAGUCGAUGGGAAACGGGUUAAUAUUCCCGUACUUGGUGUUACUGCGAAGGGGGGACGGAGAAGGCUAUGUUGGCCGGGCGACGGUUGUCCCGGUUUAAGCGUGUAGGUGUGUGUUCCAGGUAAAUCCGGUUCACUUUAACACUGAGGCGUGACGACGAGGCACUACGGUGCUGAAGCAACAAAUGCCCUGCUUCCAGGAAAAGCCUCUAAGCAUCAGGUAACAUCAAAUCGUACCCCAAACCGACACAGGUGGUCAGGUAGAGAAUACCAAGGCGCUUGAGAGAACUCGGGUGAAGGAACUAGGCAAAAUGGUGCCGUAACUUCGGGAGAAGGCACGCUGACACGUAGGUGAAGUGAUUUACUCAUGGAGCUGAAGUCAGUCGAAGAUACCAGCUGGCUGCAACUGUUUAUUAAAAACACAGCACUGUGCAAACACGAAAGUGGACGUAUACGGUGUGACGCCUGCCCGGUGCCGGAAGGUUAAUUGAUGGGGUCAGCGCAAGCGAAGCUCCUGAUCGAAGCCCCGGUAAACGGCGGCCGUAACUAUAACGGUCCUAAGGUAGCGAAAUUCCUUGUCGGGUAAGUUCCGACCUGCACGAAUGGCGUAAUGAUGGCCAGGCUGUCUCCACCCGAGACUCAGUGAAAUUGAACUCGCUGUGAAGAUGCAGUGUACCCGCGGCAAGACGGAAAGACCCCGUGAACCUUUACUAUAGCUUGACACUGAACAUUGAGCCUUGAUGUGUAGGAUAGGUGGGAGGCUUUGAAGUGUGGACGCCAGUCUGCAUGGAGCCGACCUUGAAAUACCACCCUUUAAUGUUUGAUGUUCUAACGUGGACCCGUAAUCCGGGUUGCGGACAGUGUCUGGUGGGUAGUUUGACUGGGGCGGUCUCCUCCUAAAGAGUAACGGAGGAGCACGAAGGUUGGCUAAUCCUGGUCGGACAUCAGGAGGUUAGUGCAAUGGCAUAAGCCAGCUUGACUGCGAGCGUGACGGCGCGAGCAGGUGCGAAAGCAGGUCAUAGUGAUCCGGUGGUUCUGAAUGGAAGGGCCAUCGCUCAACGGAUAAAAGGUACUCCGGGGAUAACAGGCUGAUACCGCCCAAGAGUUCAUAUCGACGGCGGUGUUUGGCACCUCGAUGUCGGCUCAUCACAUCCUGGGGCUGAAGUAGGUCCCAAGGGUAUGGCUGUUCGCCAUUUAAAGUGGUACGCGAGCUGGGUUUAGAACGUCGUGAGACAGUUCGGUCCCUAUCUGCCGUGGGCGCUGGAGAACUGAGGGGGGCUGCUCCUAGUACGAGAGGACCGGAGUGGACGCAUCACUGGUGUUCGGGUUGUCAUGCCAAUGGCACUGCCCGGUAGCUAAAUGCGGAAGAGAUAAGUGCUGAAAGCAUCUAAGCACGAAACUUGCCCCGAGAUGAGUUCUCCCUGAGACUUAGAGUCUCCUGAAGGAACGUUGAAGACGACGACGUUGAUAGGCCGGGUGUGUAAGCGCAGCGAUGCGUUGAGCUAACCGGUACUAAUGAACCGUGAGGCUUAACCUUACAACGCCGA
rnacentral:rRNA from 1 species